AACGUAGGUGGCGAGCGUUAUCCGGAUUUACUGGGCGUAAAGCGUGCGCAGGCGGUUUUGCAAGCCGGAUGUGAAAUCCCCGGGCUCAACCUGGGAAUGGCAUUUGGGACUGCAAGGCUCGAGUGCGGCAGAGGAGACUGGAAUUCCUGGUGUAGCAGUGAAAUGCGUAGAUAUCAGGAGGAAUACCGAUGGCGAAGGCAGGUCUCUGGGCUGACACUGACGCUCAUGCACGAAAGCGUGGGGAGCAAACAGG
rnacentral:rRNA from 1 species